rnacentral:misc_RNA from 1 species
GUAACAAGGUUUCCGUAGGUGAACCUGCGGAAGGAUCAUUACCGAGUGCGGGCCCCUCGGGGCCCAACCUCCCACCCGUGUUGCCCGAACCUAUGUUGCCUCGGCGGGCCCCGCGCCCGCCGACGGCCCCCCUGAACGCUGUCUGAAGUUGCAGUCUGAGACCUAUAACGAAAUUAGUUAAAACUUUCAACAACGGAUCUCUUGGUUCCGGCAUCGAUGAAGAACGCAGCGAAAUGCGAUAACUAAUGUGAAUUGCAGAAUUCAGUGAAUCAUCGAGUCUUUGAACGCACAUUGCGCCCUCUGGUAUUCCGGAGGGCAUGCCUGUCCGAGCGUCAUUGCUGCCCUCAAGCCCGGCUUGUGUGUUGGGCCCCGUCCCCCCCGCCGGGGGGACGGGCCCGAAAGGCAGCGGCGGCACCGCGUCCGGUCCUCGAGCGUAUGGGGCUUCGUCACCCGCUCUAGUAGGCCCGGCCGGCGCCAGCCGACCCCCAACCUUUAAUUAUCUCAGGUUGACCUCGGAUCAGGUAGGGAUACCCGCUGAACUUAAGCAUAUCAAUAAGCGGAGGAA